rnacentral:rRNA from 1 species
GACGAACGCUGGCGGCGUGCUUAACACAUGCAAGUCGAACGGAAAGGCCCUGCUUUUGUGGGGUGCUCGAGUGGCGAACGGGUGAGUAACACGUGAGUAACCUGCCCUUGACUUUGGGAUAACUUCAGGAAACUGGGGCUAAUACCGGAUAGGAGCUCCUGCUGCAUGGUGGGGGUUGGAAAGUUUCGGCGGGUGGGGAUGGGCUCGCGGCUUAUCAGCUUGUUGGUGGGGUAGUGGCUUACCAAGGCUUUGACGGGUAGCCGGCCUGAGAGGGUGACCGGCCACAUUGGGACUGGGAUACGGCCCAGACUCCUACGGGAGGCAGCAGUGGGGAAUAUUGCACAAUGGGCGGAAGCCUGAUGCAGCAACGCCGCGUGCGGGAUGACGGCCUUCGGGUUGUAACCCGCUUUCGCCUGUGACGAAGCGUGAGUGACGGUAAUGGGUAAAGAAGCACCGGCUAACUACGUG